rnacentral:rRNA from 1 species
AAGUCCCGUAACGAGCGCAACCCCUACUUCCAGUUGCCAACACGUAAUGGUGGGGACUCUGGAGGAACUGCCCGCGCAAGCGGUGAGGAAGGUGGGGACGACGUCAAGUCAUCACGGCCCUUACGUCCUGGGCUACACACGUGCUACAAUGGCAAUUACAGAGGGCAGCUACCUGGCAACAGGAUGCUAAUCCAUGAAAAAUUGUCUCAGUUCGGAUUGGGGUCUGCAACUCGACCCCAUGAAGCUGGAUUCGCUAGUAAUCGCGCAUCAGCAAUGGCGCGGUGAAUACGUUCCCGGGCCUUGUACACACCGCCCGU